CCUACGGGUGGCAGCAGUGGGGAAUAUUGCACAAUGGGGGAAACCCUGAAGCAGCGACGCCGCGUGAGUGACGAAGUCUUUCGGUAUGUAAAGCUCUAUCAUCAGGGAAGAAAAUUACGGUACCUGACUAAUAAGCCCCGGCUAACUCCGUACCAGCAGCCGCGGUAAUACGUAGGGGGCAAGGGUUAUCCGGAUUUACUGGGUGUAAACGGAGCGUAGCCGGGGGGGAAGGUCUGAAGUGAAAGGCAGGGGCCUAAGCCCGGAACUGCUUUGGAAACUGCCAUGUUUGAGUGCGGGAGAGGUAGGUGGAAUGCGUGGUGUAGCGGUGAAAUGCGUAGAUAUCAGGAGGAACACCAGUGGCGAAGGCGGCUUACUGGACAGUAACUGACGUUGAGGCUCGAAAGCGUGGGGAGCAAACAGGAUUAGAUACCCGGGUAGUC
rnacentral:rRNA from 1 species